GCCUCCAUGGAUCAGGUGGAUCUCCUGCAGAUCGUAGUUUUGCGACAGCUUUUCUGCAGGCGUCGUGGGUUCGAUUCCCACUGGGGGCA